UUUUCCCUAUAUCCAUGUAGUACAUGAGGACACAGUGCGAUGCACAGUGCUUGCUUUGUAAGUAAGCAAGGUGUGAAUCUAUCUUGUGAUUAAACAGACUUAUUGUAGGUUAUUUGACUGAUUUACAGAUCAUGGACUAUUUUUCUGUUUUAUAUUAGGAUACUUUUUUAAUAGAUUUAAAUGUUUCCAUAUCUCAGUGUCUUUAGAGUAUCCUGUGAGGCAGAUCAACGUGCCCUAUGGUCAGGAGGAGAGCAGCAGCUUGAAGGUUUUGGGGGAAACAUUUCCCCCAGAUGAAUCCAAAUGUAGAGGCCUUUAAGACGGGCAGGAGGAGGAGACUUGUUCCCCUACAAAAAAAAGAGUUGUUGUCAAGACAAUGGAGGAUAGAGAUGGUGUGGUUGAAUUGGUGGCUCAACAAUUUGUCCAAGGGAGCAUGCAGGUGGUCUUGGAGCAGUAAGUCAACUCUGUCAUAAAUCUGUGCAGGACUUGUCAUUACCUCCUCUAACAUAAGUAUUUUUAACCAGUCCACCCCCCUAAAUCAAUACACAUCACUAUAUUGUCCUUAAACUUGUUUUAAAUAUACAUACUGUCUCUAAACCAUGACAGGUUCAAAUAUGGUCCCAACUCUCUUGGGCUGCUCAAAGCAUUGGGGAACCACCCGGACAGCCUCCGAGCACUUUUUGUGGGGACCUGCGGGAUCUGUUUAAAAUAACCUGUUCCAUGCCUGGCGGCAACCGGCGGUGUUUGGAGAACGACACCGUCUGCCACUGGUUCAACUGGCUGGCUGAGGUGGAAGAUGGAGAAUGUCCUCCUCUAACAGUGGCGAUGGUGUUGGAGUUUGCUACUGGGGCAACGGUGAUGCCACCCCUUGGGUUUGAGGACACCCCGACCAUCGAAUUCCUCACACACAGCGCGAGGGAGUCUCGCUAGGCAGUAGAAGAAAAAGUACCCAGUGGCAAACACGUGUGCUGUGACACUAAGGCUCCCUCUUCAUAGCACCUACAAUGCCUUUAGGGAAUUCAUGACCUCCGGUAUUGUGAAUUCCCCACAUUUCGGUGUUGCAUAAAAACAUUUUUACGACACAUAAUUGUAUCUAGUAGCACUAAACUACAGUAGCAAUUGAGUGUCUGAAAAUGUAACAGCACAUCGACAUUUAAGCAUUUAUCUACUUGUUUGUAUGGUAUUCAGACCUCUUGCCUUUUUAUUACGUUACAGCCUUAUUAAAAAACGGAUAAAAUUUUCCCCCUCAUCAAUCUACACACAAUACCCCAUAAUGACAAAGCAAAAACAGGUUUACAUUUUUGCAAAUGUAUAUAUAAAAAAAGAGGAUAUAUUACAUGUAUGACCCUUUACUUAGUACUUUGCUGAAGCAGCGAUUACAUCAGUCUUCUUGGGUAUGACGCUACAUUUUAAUUUAUUUAAUAGAUUUUAGAAUAAGGCUCUAAUGUAACAAAAUGUGGAAAAAGUCAAGGGGGUCUGAAUACUUUCCAAAUGCACUGUAUUUCCAUAUCGGCUGUUAUUGUGCACUUAAUGAUCCUUUAAAAUUAAAUUAUUACAAUCC
rnacentral:lncRNA from 1 species